GAUGAACGCUGGCGGCGUGCUUAACACAUGCAAGUCGAGCGGGAAACUUUUCAUUGAAGCUUCGGCAGAUUUGGUCUGUUUCUAGUGGCGGACGGGUGAGUAACGCGUGGGUAACCUGCCUUAUACAGGGGGAUAACAACCAGAAAUGGUUGCUAAUACCGCAUAAGCGCACAGGACCGCAUGGUCCGGUGUGGAAAACUCCGGUGGUAUAAGAUGGACCCGCGUUGGAUUAGCUAGUUGGCAGGGUAACGGCCUACCAAGGCGACGAUCCAUAGCCGGCCUGAGAGGGUGAACGGCCACAUUGGGACUGAGACACGGCCCAGACUCCUACGGGAGGCAGCAGUGGGGAAUAUUGCACAAUGGGGGAAACCCUGAUGCAGCGACGCCGCGUGAAGGAAGAAGUAUCUCGGUAUGUAAACUUCUAUCAGCAGGGAAGAUAGUGACGGUACCUGACUAAGAAGCCCCGGCUAACUACGUGCCAGCCGCCGCGUAA
rnacentral:rRNA from 1 species